CUUGAACGUUCGGAAGAAGUUGUAAACAACAAAGGUGGAAAAACGAAUGAAUAAUAGAAAAAAGAGCCAAGAAGACGUUUUCAAAAACUAGUCUGGCAUCGUCUCACCGUGUGACCCAAAACUAGUUUUAACUAUCAUUUGAUAAAACCAACUGCGGUGAAAAAGCCAAAAGCAAUAAAAUUAAGAAAAAUACAUAAAAUAAAGUAAAAAGUGGGGCAUCCGAAGAAUUGGACCACCACGUUACCAAAUAAAAAAUAAGUAUACAAAAUAAAAAAAAAGGACAAAACAAAACGGGGAAAAAAGAAAACAAUGAGAGAGGUUCUCCGAUUCUUUUUCUGGUCUUUUAAUUAGAAUUUAAACAUACAGUAAGUAGGAUCAAGCUUCCAUUUU
rnacentral:lncRNA from 1 species